GGCCGAACAUUUUUUUUUAAUGUAAAAUAAGUGAUAGGUUAAGAAAAACUCAAGCUCCAAGUCAUUGGUUAAAUUAGCAAUACGAAAAAAAAAACCAACAGUAAAUAAACUGACAAAAAAAACGAAAAAAAAAGAAGAACCACACUCGAGUCUAUUCAGAUUAUCAAACAACCCAAUUCUAACCUAAAUGAAGGAAAACUAGGAAAAAAAGAGGGUCAAACUUCAAAAAAUAAAAAAAAAAACAGAAAACAUUAGCUUAAAAAAGGAGAAAAAACCAAGCAAACCUUCUAAACCUAGUCCAAUCUAAAAAAUUGCAACUUGUUAAAUCAUGGAACCUGGGUUCAAUCAAGAAGCUUAAAUGUCAUCUAAUUUAAUUUUAAAUGAUGGAAUUUUUGAAAAAACUAUUAAUAAAAAAACUUGAAAAAAAAGGAAAAAAAAUGGGGCUAAAAUCUUUCAGGAAAAAACCAAAUGAGGAUGAAAUAAAAAAAAAAUGUAUUGCAAAUAAAAAAAAUUGCAAUUAAAAAAAUUAGGUCCAAACUUGAAAGAUUAAAACAUUAUGGGGGCGAAAUAUAAAAAAAAUUUGUUGAGGGCUAACUCAAUAGAAUAAAAAAAAGAAAAAAAAAACAAAAGUUAAAAAAAAGAUGAUAAAAAAUAAGACAACAUCAAUUUAGAAAAAGGGAAAAAAACAGGGUUAUCCUCCUAAACCUGGUCUAAUCUCUAAAAGUCACAUUCCGUGAAAUUUUUUGCCAAAAUUCAAUUAAAAAGUAUAAUUCUCAACCAAUUUAAUUUUGAAAGAUGAGAUCGGUAGAAAAGUAUUAUUAAAUGGGAUCGGUAAAAAAGUAUUAUUAAAAAAACUUGCAAAAGAAAAAAAAAUGAGGAUAAAAUUUGAUAGGAAAAACCUAAGGAGGAUGCAAUUUAAUGAAAAAAAUAAUAUGGACCAAAUUUUAAAGAUUAAAAAAAUCACAAGGGGUGAAAUUGAAAACAUCUGUAAAAACCAAGUAAACCCAGACAAACAUUCUAAACAUGGCUAAAUUUUAAAAAGCUCGCAAC
rnacentral:lncRNA from 1 species